AACGAACGCUGGCGGCAGGCUUAACACAUGCAAGUCGAACGCAUCCUUCGGGGUGAGUGGCAGACGGGUGAGUAACGCGUGGGAACGUGCCCUUCAGUUCGGGAUAACCCAGGGAAACUUGGGCUAAUACCGGAUACGUGCGAGAGCAGAAAGAUUUAUCGCUGAAGGAUCGGCCCGCGUCUGAUUAGCUAGUUGGUGGGGUAAUGGCCCACCAAGGCGACGAUCAGUAGCUGGUCUGAGAGGAUGAUCAGCCUCAUUGGGACUGAGACACGGCCCAAACUCCGACGGGAGGCGGCAGUGGGGAAUAUUGGACAAUGGGCGCAAGCCUGAUCCAGCCAUGCCGCGUGAGUGAUGAAGGCCUUAGGGUUGUAAAGCUCUUUCGUCCGGGACGAUAAUGACGGUACCGGAAGAAGAAGCCCCGGCUAACUUCUUGCCAGCCGCCGCAGUAA
rnacentral:rRNA from 1 species